UACGGGGGGGGCAAGCGUUGUUCGGAAUUACUGGGCGUAAAGGGUGCGCAGGCGGUUAUAUAAGACAGAUGUGAAAUCCCCGGGCUCAACCUGGGAACUGCGUUUGUGACUGUAUGACUAGAGUACGGUAGAGAGGGGUGGAAUUCCUGGUGUAGCAGUGAAAUGCGUAGAUAUCAGGAGGAACAUCGAUGGCGAAGGCAGCCCCUUGGACCUGUACUGACGCUCAUGCACGAAAGCGUGGGGAGCAAACAGG
rnacentral:rRNA from 1 species